rnacentral:tRNA from 1 species
GGAGGGUGUAGCUCAGUGGCAGAGCGCCUGCCGAGCAUACAUGAGGUCCUGGGUUCAAUCCCCAGUACCUCCA